UACGUAGGUGGCGAGCGUUAUCCGGAUUCAUUGGGCGUAAAGGGUGCGUAGGCGGCGCGGUAAGUCGGGUGUGAAAUCUCGGGGCUUAACUCCGAAACUGCAUUCGAUACUGCCGUGCUUGAGGACUGGAGAGGAGACUGGAAUUUACGGUGUAGCGGUGAAAUGCGUAGAUAUCGUAAGGAAGACCAGUGGCGAAGGCGGGUCUCUGGACAGUUCCUGACGCUGAGGCACGAAGGCCAGGGGGAGCAAAACGGGG
rnacentral:rRNA from 1 species